CGGGGCUCCAGGGCUGCAGGUUCAGGGGCCGGUCGGUGCUGGGCCACAGCCCCGGGGAAUAAGGCUGAAGUGGCUGCCGAAUCUGCAAACCUGCUUCUCAGGCAAGACUCUGAGCCAAGCAUGGGAGCAGCUACAACAUCCACAAAGGGAAUGCUCUGAGAAUGAGAGGGGGAACUGUUACAAUCACUGCUUUUGGCGAACCGAGAAGCG